CGCCGCCCCCUCCCCCUCCCGAGGGGCUGGGGGGAACUGGCGUCGGUGAACAGGGGGGCGGCGGCGGUGGUGGGCAGGGGGUCGAGGCGGCCCCCUGCAGGGCGAAGAAGAGGAUGUUGACGGCGAGAAAAAGCGCGGCGGAGGCCAUGUCUACUGGUAAUGGAAGAGAGGAGUUGAUGUACGUUGGUGUUGGUGUUGGUUUUUAUCUUAUUAAGAAGUGUUUGUGAUGAUUGUGAAUGUUAG
rnacentral:lncRNA from 1 species